rnacentral:rRNA from 1 species
UACGAAGGGGGCUAGCGUUGCUCGGAAUCACUGGGCGUAAAGCGCACGUAGGCGGAUUGUUAAGUCAGGGGUGAAAUCCUGGAGCUCAACUCCAGAACUGCCUUUGAUACUGGGGAUCUUGAGUCCGGAAGAGGUGAGUGGAACUCCGAGUGUAGAGGUGAAAUUCGUAGAUAUUCGGAAGAACACCAGUGGCGAAGGCGGCUCACUGGUCCGGUACUGACGCUGAGGUGCGAAAGCGUGGGGAGCAAACAGG